CGUAAUGAAUACCAAUUUCGCUUCGUGUAGUCAAGAACAAGAAACAAUUGCACCAAGUACCCAAUACUAGAACUAUCCUAUUGUUCUACUUUUUGUGUAAAAAUGGCACGACCCGGUGUAUUUCGUUUUGCACUUACUACUAUUACUACUAAAUUGAGUAAUAGGGAAGCUCUAGUACAUGGAACCGAUGCAAUUGUGUCUUUGUGAGUUUCAGUUUUACUUUGUUAUUGUACGCUUGGACAGCUUUAGCCAUUUUUGACCAGGGUGGCAAGAUUUCAGUUAAUGGAUAAAACAUGGAUUAUACAGUGCGUCAUAGUGUGUUGCAUGAAAGCAAGCUACAUUAUAUGGAUAACCAGUAUGCAAUGAACGCUCGUACACGUAGAAUACAAGAGUGAAAGAUCAAGUCUGAAACCCUGAUGCUGACUCGCAACAAAUUUACACUACAGCUUACGUGAAUGCGACAUAUUCAUUUUCAGUUUACGGGUGGUGUUAUUUCUGCUCACCAACUGAACAGUUCAAGAAAAAAAUAAACGUUUCGUUGCGUUGCAUUAAACAUGGCGCCCAGAGUCUCUCUCAGAUAGCUCUCUCAGAGUCUGCGCGUCUCACUGAGAAAACACGUUCCAUUGACUCAGGUGAAAAGUUGUGCAUUAUCAGGUGAAAGGUUGUGCGUUAUCAGAUGAAACGUUGUGCACUAUAUCAGGAGCUCCUUCCUGUGAGUGAGAGGUGCAUUUAUGGGCUUGACUAUUGCGUUUGGCGAUGACGUUACCACUGGAGAUAUGACGCAUAUCCGGCGGGCCGUACCACUGCACCAUCUCUGAUGGGGGAAGUCCGUCAAUGGCACAGUGGAGCGUUACUGUGUCUCCUUUCAGGACAUCAGCUGAUUUAGGUCGCUCUCUGUAAGACGCUCCGUCCACUG